GGGGGAUUAGCUCAAAUGGUAGA
rnacentral:piRNA from 4 species